CUAGUAACCAGCAGGUAGCCUAGUGGUUAGAGUGUUGGGCUAGUAACCAGCAGGUAGCCUAGUGGUUAGAGUGUUGGACUAGUAACCAGCAGGUAGCCUAGUGGUUAGAGCGUUGGACUAGUAACCAGCAGGUAGCCUAGUGGUUAGAGUGUUGGGCUAGUAACCAGCAGGUAGCCUAGUGGUUAGAGUGUUGGGCUAGUAACCAGCAGGUAGCCUAGUGGUUAGAGUGUUGGACUAGUAACCAGCAGGUAGCCUAGUGGUUAGAGUGUUGGACUAGUAACCAGCAGGUAGCCUAGUGGUUAGAGCGUUGGACUAGUAACCAGCAGGUAGCCUAGUGGUUAGAGUGUUGGACUAGUAACCAGCAGGUAGCCUAGUGGUUAGAGCGUUGGACUAGUAACCAGCAGGUAGCCUAGUGGUUAGAGUGUUGGGCUAGUAACCAGCAGGUAGCCUAGUGGUUAGAGUGUUGGGCUAGUAACCAGCAGGUAGCCUAGUGGUUAGAGUGUUGGGCUAGUAACCAGCAGGUAGCCUAGUGGUUAGAGUGUUGGACUAGUAACCAGCAGGUAGCCUAGUGGUUAGAGCGUUGGACUAGUAACCAGCAGGUAGCCUAGUGGUUAGAGUGUUGGGCUAGUAACCAGCAGGUAGCCUAGUGGUUAGAGUGUUGGGCUAGUAACCAGCAGGUAGCCUAGUGGUUAGAGCGUUGGACUAGUAACCAGCAGGUAGCCUAGUGGUUAGAGCGUUGGACUAGUAACCAGCAGGUAGCCUAGUGGUUAGAGUGUUGGGCUAGUAACCAGCAGGUAGCCUAGUGGUUAGAGUGUUGGGCUAGUAACCAGCAGGUAGCCUAGUGGUUAGAGUGUUGGGCUAGUAACCAGCAGGUAGCCUAGUGGUUAGAGUGUUGGGCUAGUAACCAGCAGGUAGCCUAGUGGUUAGAGUGUUGGACUAGUAACCAGCAGGUAGCCUAGUGGUUAGAGCGUUGGACUAGUAACCAGCAGGUAGCCUAGUGGUUAGAGUGUUGGGCUAGUAACCAGCAGGUAGCCUAGUGGUUAGAGUGUUGGGCUAGUAACCAGCAGGUAGCCUAGUGGUUAGAGUGUUGGACUAGUAACCAGCAGGUAGCCUAGUGGUUAGAGUGUUGGGCUAGUAACCAGCAGGUAGCCUAGUGGUUAGAGCGUUGGACUAGUAACCAGCAGGUAGCCUAGUGGUUAGAGCGUUGGACUAGUAACCAGCAGGUAGCCUAGUGGUUAGAGCGUUGGGCUAGUAACCAGCAGGUAGCCUAGUGGUUAGAGCGUUGGACUAGUAACCAGCAGGUAGCCUAGUGGUUAGAGCGUUGGACUAGUAACCAGCAGGUAGCCUAGUGGUUAGAGCGUUGGACUAGUAACCAGCAGGUAGCCUAGUGGUUAGAGCGUUGGACUAGUAACCAGCAGGUAGCCUAGUGGUUAGAGAUUAUUCAUUAUUAGGACAUGCAUCAGAUCAGAUUAUCAUACUGUCUGUCUCUGAGGAGUGGGUUUUGGUCCCAAAAUGGCACCCUAUUCACUAUAUAGUGCACUACUUUUUAUCGGAACCCUAUGGCCCCUGGUCAAAAUGAGUGCACUAUAUUCGAGAAUAGGGUUCCAACAGGGAGGCAGACAAUGACUGGGAGAGGAAGGAAUUCUGAGGGAGUGGGAGGCAGC